rnacentral:lncRNA from 1 species
ACGUGUAUUUGGCACAAUCUGAUGUAAACUAUAAAAAUCUGGAUCCAGCGUCAAUCGCGACGACACCCGACAGUUUGAAACAGUUUACACACUACUGUAAAAUAAACUCGGCAUCUCAGCACGAGUGUAAACUCAUAUUACACUAAUCUAAGUAUCCACCGCAUACGAGCAGCGGCGAUACAAACAAACCACAGCUCCUAAAAUUAAAUCUGAUAAUUUUUAAAAAAUGACAGUGUAGAAUCUAUAUGUUUUCUCCUAAAUCAAUUUUAAGUCCAACAUGUAAAAUUAUACUACUAGCUUAACUCCAAAUUCAGAUUUUAUCUCUAAUCCAUGAAUUCGAAUACUA